AGCGAACGCUGGCGGCAGGCCUAACACAUGCAAGUCGAACGAACCUUUCGGGGUUAGUGGCGGACGGGUGAGUAACACGUGGGAACGUGCCUUUAGGUUCGGAAUAACUCAGGGAAACUUGUGCUAAUACCGAAUGUGCCCUUCGGGGGAAAGAUUUAUCGCCUUUAGAGCGGCCCGCGUCUGAUUAGCUAGUUGGUUGAGGUAAUGGCUCACCAAGGCGACGAUCAGUAGCUGGUCUGAGAGGAUGAUCAGCCACAUUGGGACUGAGACACGGCCCAAACGCCUACGGGAGGCAGCAGUGGGGAAUCUUGCGCAAUGGGCGAAAGCCUGACGCAGCCAUGCCGCGUGAAUGAUGAAGGUCUUAGGAUUGUAAAAUUCUUUCACCGGGGACGAUAAUGACGGUACCCGGAGAAGAAGCCCCGGCUAACUUCGUG
rnacentral:rRNA from 1 species